rnacentral:tRNA from 1 species
CAAAAUGUAGCUAAAAUAGUAAAGUAUCUCUCUUACACUGAGAAGUCGUCCGUGCAAACCGAACCAUUUUGA